AUCCCAUGUUGAGGGCAUUUCUGUAGGAGCUCCUUGAAACUAUCCCAAGUCUCAAAAAAAGACUCCAAUUCUAUUUGCACAAAAGAGGAAAUUUCAUUCUUGAGUUU